AUGCAAGUCGAACGGGAAGUGGUGUUUCCAAUGGCGGACAAGUGAGUAACGCAUAAGAACCUGCCCUUGGGAGGGGAACACAAGUUGGAAACGGCUACUAAUACCCCGUAGGCUGAGGAGCAGAAGGAGGAAUCCGCCUGAGGAGGGGCUCGCGUCUGAUUAGCUAGUUGGUGAGGCAAUAGCUUACCAAGGCGAUGACCAGUAGCUAGUCUGAGAGGAUGAUUAGCCACACUGGGACUGAGAUUGAUUACAACUCUAUUUCAUUGCA
rnacentral:ncRNA from 1 species